CACUUUUGUGAUGAACUAUUUUCAAAACUGUCACAUACUUUGUGUGGUUCUCAUACAGAUCUGAAAAUAAGUUGGCAAGGCUAUUGGUUCAACUGGUUCAACUUGUUCUGACUGGUAUCACUUGACUCAAAUUCAGAUUUUACACAAAAUGUAUUUUCUAUUUGGACCACUAGAAGAAAAAUUGUCCUUCUACUUUAGAAAUCUUAGAUGCCCAUUAAUUAUCACUGGCAUACGAGGUUCUCACUUGUUUUGCAAGAGGGCAUGUACCUAAUCUGAGACGAUCUAACGCAGACUUUGUUACAGGAUGUGGUGAACAUGGAAACCAGAAACUCUAACUAUGACAAUACACUAGUUUACCCUCAGGCCUCAGUUUUUAAACUGACCACAAAAUAUAUAUAUUUUUUUUCUUGAACAAGAGUAUACAAGCAAUUUGAGUUGAAUCACAGCUGAGUGUAAUAGUGCUUUAAUAGCACUCACUGGCAGUAUAGAAAUGGUAUACAUAUAGUGGUAUGUAGACAAACUGAAUUUAUAUUAUAUUAUAUAUAUUAAUAUAUCCCUCAUAUAUCAGGGGCUGGUCCUGGGUUGGUUCUCUGUGUUCCUGUGUUUAUUUCCUGUCUAUGAUAGUUGACCUAGGCUAUGUUUAAAAGCGCCCUCAAUACCCUUAAAGGGUAAGUUCAGCCAAAAAUUAAAUUUCUGUCAUUAAUUACUCACCCAGAAAGUAUGUCCCACACCCAUAAGGCCUUCGUUUGUCUUCGAAACACAAAUUAAGAUAUUUUUGCUGAAAUCCGUGGAUAUCUGAUACACAUAGGCAGCAAUGCCAUUGCACCUUUUGAGGUCCAGAAAGGUAUUACGGGUGUGGAUCGACAUGAGGCUGAGUAAUAAAUGACAGAAUUUUCAUUUCUGGGUGAACUAACCCUUUAAAUAUGGCCCUAUUUGAGGGAACAGCCAUUUGUGUCGGAAACCAUAGUGGAUGUUAUCUCAUUCUAUCCCAUAAUGCACCGCAAUAACGAGUGUACAACCGAUGUACACUCAAUGGCAAGAGAAUACCCAUAAUACACAAUCAUGAUCCCCUAGGGCAGUGGUCGCCAACCCGUCGAUCUUUAUCACUGUUCCAGUAGCUCGCGAAAAUAACAGAAAUAUGCGUACAAAAAUACAUUACAUUUCUCCAGUCUUUGUACUGUAUUUUUGUAUUUAUUUUUAAGUUAUUUUCUGGAGCUACUGGGACAGACAGAUAAAGGUAAAUAAUAGGGUUGUGCCGAUGGACGAUAACAUCGUCCAUCGUGAUGGCUGACCGACAUCACGAUGGAGAGACACCAUCGUGAUGUCACGCCCCCGCCCGCCCCUUUUAUUCCCCUCACGUGCAACCUAUUGGAAAGCCCGGAUGAGUCAUUAGUUGGGAAAUAAAAUAACCCUUUCGCACAAGAAAAAGUCAUGCAGGUUUGGAAGCAUAUGAUGUUAUAAAGAGUUGGCCUGAGAAAUCACACCUAGAUUACCACAAAUGACAUGAAAAGCAAUGUCUUUGGAUAUUUUUUGGUGCCCUGGUGUCUUCAAACGCUCUGGAUCGUUGGAACACAAGAUGUACAGAGGUCAAAAUCAGCACCUUUCUGAAAUCAGAAGUCUUUCUCCCUUGUCACUUUAAUAAAAGCUUUGACAAUGAAACAGAGACAGUGAGAUGGAGUAACACUUCCAGUGGAGCUACUCUUCUAACUAUCAUGAAAAAUGGUAAAAUCAUCUUUGAUAGUCCUACAGAAGGACGAGUCAACGUUUUCCCGCUUCUAUUCAAUGACGGAAACUUCUCCAUCCUCAUCCGUGAUCUGGAGUUUUCAGACUUCGGCCCGUACUUUUGUGAGCUGAACCGUGAAUGCUGGAGAGUGGAGAUCACAGAACGUCUAAUUGAGAAAACUGUGGACUUGGACUCUUAUAAACCCUGGUUGUUCUUUUUUGCUGGAGCUGGACUUUUCACUCUUUUUUUCUUGUAUUUAAUCGCACUGGCUUACAUAACCGUUGUGUGAGAUGUAUGAGAUCAUCCAAAUGUUGCUCUAUUAAUGAAGAACACAAUGAAGCAUUUAGAACUCCAGAUCCAAAGGACUCUCCCAUCACUACAGUAUAUGGCUGAGCGAGCAGUCCAAGGCACACUUACCUAUCCUCUGGGAGAUUUUGUUGCAUUUGUGGAGUGGGUGCUGGUGAAUAAUGGAUCGGCGUUCACCAUCUGCCACGUGGAGGACAUCACCAGCCCCACUUCAGACUCAGAGCCCAGCCAGCCACCGCCCACACACUGCACAGAGUAAACGGCAGAGCCCACCGCAGACAGCAAACUCGAGCCUGCCACGAUGAAUGAGCCAGUGGACUCGAGGACUGAGAAGGUCAUCGCCCCGGAGCCUAAGCCACACAGAGAGUCUAACCAGGUGUGUGACCCGGCAACACUGUGCGUCACCGUGGGACUGCUCCUGGAGUAAAGUGGAAGAGGAUGUAUUUCUGGUUCUCGUGUCCCUGCUGGUCCCACCCAGCUAGAAGUCUCCCCUCUGACACUUCUCCAUGGUGUGGAUUUACCUCGGGUCUUCCGGUCUUCAGCUCCACCCAGUAAAGAGGAUCCCUGGCUCUGCCUUCAGCCACUGAUCCUGUCACUCCACCAUGGCCUGUCGACCUAUCGGCUCCGCCAUGGUCAGACGUUGCCUUGCCUGUGCUACGGUCUUCCGAGCCAUCCUCUGUGCUCUGCCUCUUCUCAGCCUUGAUCCUCUGUCCCACCAACUCCGCCUCAGUCCUCAGGCACUGUCCCACUGGUCUCACUGGCUCUUCGUCUGCGUGUAGGGCUCCACUUCCACCAGCCUCAUCUCUGUCAGUCAUCUCCCUGGUGUCGUCAGCCAAUUCUCCCUCCCUUUCGUUCUGGCUGCUCUCUGGGUCCCCACCUGACAACUCCUGCUCCUGGCUCCUCCUGCCAACAUUUCCUGUGGUUCCCUGUUCUUCACCAGCCCCUCGACCUCCUCCAGAGCCUCCUCCCUCCUCAAUCAGACUAUAGUUACUACGCAAGGAUGUGCCUUUCCUGACAUCACAGCCCCGGGUUAUUUCUUUUUUUAGUUUCUUUUGUGUUUUAGAGUACGUUUACAUGACAACGAUAUGCUUAAAAUGGAGAAGUUUUUCCUUUGAGUUUUCUGUGUACAUACGACACCAUUGUCAAAACGAUCCCCAUUCACAUGGAUCUGCGAAAAUGACUAAAAACGCUGUAUUCUGCAGGCAGGCCAUUAAAUGGCAAUGAAACACUAUAGACUGAGCUUGUAAUACGCAUGUGCAUGACGUCAUAGUUUCCACAGAUUCACGUUUUUGUUGUUUACAUGGAGACCGUUUUCAAAAACUUGCACUUUGAAACCCAAGUUUUCAGGCACCCAAAACGCCAUUGUCGUGUAAAUGAUCAACCAAAAACACAUUAAUAAAAUUCACAUUUUUAGUUGAAAACGGCAUAGUGUAAACGGCCCCUUUGAUUGGUUUUCUCUGUUCCUGUUUGCCUGUUCUCAUUCAUUGUUUCCUUGGUUCCUGAUCAUGCCCUAGUUUGUUUCCAUGGUUUCUAAUUAAGUACACACCUGUUCUGUUUCAGUUAAUUAGCGUCCUCUGUGUAUUUAAACCCUGAGUUCUCCUCUGUUCUUUGUCUUGUAUUUUGGUUAUGUUGGUUGUGUAGCGUUUCUUUCUCUUGAGUUCAUUAAAGGUAUCUUCA